rnacentral:lncRNA from 10 species
UUUCCACUUGGCCAGCGCCAUCUUGUCUGAUCCUUACUGUACACGUGGCUGGCCAAGAGAAGAGAAGAUGGAGCGGCCAUUUUGAUCAUGCCUAGUCCCAGAAUAUAUCAGCUGUGAAAAUAAGUGAAAGAAAGAUUUUCUUAUCUCCAACAUUUCUGGGAAGGGGUGUGUCUGUGGAUUUUAUGUUACUGGAAAGAGACAAUCCAGUAGUCCACUUUGUCAGGAGUGUUUCAAACAACAUCUGUGAACCCACUGGACUUCAAGCUCCUACAGGCUAGAGAUUUGGUCUAUUUCAUCUGCAUUGUGAAAGGUCCUGGAGACUGAGAAUCAGGAAUUACUAGACUAUAAUGGAUGAGAUUUAUAAAAAAUAAGAUGAAGGUAAGCAGCUGUGCACAGCUGCUCUGCUAUAUUGGGAGGAAACUAGAACAAAGACACAAAACAAGAGUUGCAAGGGUAUAUGUACAUGUUCUGCCUGUGUUUAAGAGCCUAUCUAUGUUGCAUUUUGAGUUAUCUUGCUGGAGGAUAAGUUUGCAAGUUUGAGGCAAAAAGGCUUUGUGCUCUUGUGGUAAGAUCAUCAGGGAACAGCUCUCUGGAGGUGGUGCAGUGCAUAAGAGAGAAACUGGCUAGUGGUGGAAAUAAUACACUCCUUGGAAAAAGUAAAAGGAAAAUGUAAAAUGGAGUCUACCUUCUGGAUGCAAAGAAAUUCUCAUCAUCACGUGAUAGCAAGGUACCAUAUAUUUGCAUCAACUAUAUGGAUUAUUGAAUAAGUUGUAUUAUGUGGCUAGGAUAUUUUUACCUUCUUUCUAUUCUCUAAGACACCCAAAUAUCUAAGCCAGUCACUGCCAAGUUAGGUAGUCUUGCUAUUAUAAUUUAUAUUUUUUAUUGCACUUAAAGUGUUUUGCUCAUAGUAUGUGCUCAUUAAAUGGGUCAAACGACAUUUUAUACAAUUAAUCACGUAUUCAGUAGAAGUAAAACGUGAAAACAGAACUUUAAAAGGCUUAAGUUUUACAAUUUUAUAGAAAUCAGCUAAUGUUCUAUAAUUUAAAGAAAAUAGGCAUAUUAUUGAACACAGAAACAACAUAAUAGUGAAAGCAUAAAUAAAAAGGAAUAUUUACUUAAAUCAUUUUGAUGUAGAUUACAGUUACAAAGAUAUUUGAACAUACAUUAUGGCUAAUAUAAGCAGGCAAUUCCAUCUUAAAUUAAGAAAUUUUUAAUGUAAUAGCUCUUCUACCUUUAUAAAGUUUCUAUUUCUAGGAAAGUAACCUAAUCUAUUUAAAUUUAAUGUUAACAUAGCUUGAAGAUCUUAAAUUAACCAGAUGUGUACUUUAGAGAAACAGGAAUACAUCUAGACAUAUUUAGAUAUACACAAUCCCUAAAGGUUAAAUACCAUGGUGAGAGCUUCCUGGUUCUCUUAGAUAUGCGCUUAACAUCGUAAAAUAACCUGUUGGAUUUUAGAAGAUAGUGUCAACAUUCUGAUCCAGUAUCUACUUAUGUAAUAAAAGUAAAUCACUUCCACAGGUUUAAUACUGCAAAUAAAUUGCAUUCAUAAUGAUUUUCAUAUUAUCUAUUCAUUCUCAAAACUUUUCAGAUUCUUACUUAUUUUUAAGUGCUUUGUAUUAUAUAGAGAAACUACUAUAGGGAAAAAGACACUUCAUUUUUAUUUGAAAUCAAAUAUCAAGCUUAAAACAAAAAUGACUGACUGAACUGUAUUUAAUUUUAUUUUCUUAUGCAGGAAAAAAUAUACUAAAUAAGUCAAGCUCAGAUAUACUGGUCUAUGGCAUUUUCAAGCCGUGAAACUAAAAAAAAAUAACUAAAACAAUGUUAUUGAGUUGAAAAUUACACAAUGUGAACUCUCAGUGUGUGAUAACAAGAAUAAGGUUAUCAAAAACCUUUUGGCUGUACCUAUGUAAUGCCGAAUUCCUGUAUGAAUCUUAAAACAUUUCUUUAACUCAAGUGGGGUAAGGUUAGUUUAUUGAUAUGGUUUAAAUCUUAGAGAAUAUCAGAGAUUCUCAGCUCUGUGAACUUUUCUUGAAAGAAAUGAGAAGGAGCUGGACGAUGGGAUAGUGGGGAUAUAUAAUGAGUUGACAAAACUUCAACACGUUUUCCUUUUACUACUAUAAGGUAUCAUGAAACUUAACUAAAAACUGAUUUUCUAUGGCAAAAAAUUUAUAUCUAUAUUGAUACCUAAUUUUCAUGUAUUUUUUGCCACAGAUAGAAAAUAUGGUGACAACAAAAUUUUGACCAUUUAUAAAUAAUAAGGUAAGUCCUCUGCAUUUCAAGCUUAUAUAAUUCUGUAUUUCAAAUUUUCAUUGUUAUAGAGAUUAAAUAAAUGAAAUAUGUUUGUCUAUCAGACAAGGAACAGUUAAAUGAUGAUUGGUACACGGUUUGGUAGUAGGAAAACAGGAAUUCUGAACAUGAACUAGUUUAACAUUUUGGGAAGGAAAGGUACUAUCAAAUUUUCGUAAAUGUAUAGUUUUUGUAUUGUCAAUAAUAUUUCUAAAAAACAUAUGCUAUAAAAGUGUUACACAAGAAUGCAAAGACAUAUGUACAAAAAUAUUCAUUGCAAAAAUUGUUGCAAUAGUGAAAAAUUUAGGAUCCAUCUAAUAAUCAUUAAUAGGAAAGGGGUAACAUGCACGAUAGUACAUCAUGCAAUAAGAUUCUAUGAAGCCUAUAGAAAGAAGGGAUGAUUAGUAAAUUGGUACUAAAAUAGAAGGAUAUUUCACAAUAUAUUCAAUAAAAAGCAAGUUAUAAGGCAGUUAUAUAUAAUAAGAAUACAUUUCUGGGAGAUAAAACCACUAAUAUAACUAUGUUUCUAUACACUGAAUAAAUUUAGAGAAGUAUUCGAUAUUAAUAACUGCAGUUAUUUCAGGUAUAUGAAUUAUACAGAGCUUUUAUAUUUCACAACAUAAAAUGUCUAUAUUGCUUUGGAUCUUAACAAUAAGAAUAUAUUACCUCUAUGUUCAGAAAAUAUAAAAAAUAUAAAAACUGUCAGAGAAAUAAUUAGGUAAUUUUUGUUCCUUUCUUGAACAAUGCUAUAAUGCUACUAGUUUUUUUAUUACGUAAUUUCUAGUUUAUUGAAUUAUCUUGUAUGUGUUUAUCAGAAAGUUUAAAAAGAGCUGAAU